rnacentral:rRNA from 1 species
CCUACGGGAGUCAGCAGUGAGGAAUAUUGGUCACUGGACGGAAGUCUGAACCAGCCAUGCCGCGUGCAGGAAGACGGCUCUAUGAGUUGUAAACUGCUUUUGUACAAGGGUAAACCUGAAUACGUGUAUUCAGCUGAAAGUACUGUACGCAUAAGGAUCGGCUAACUCCGUUCCAGAAGCCGCGGUAAUACGGAGGAUCCAAGCGUUAUCCGGAUUUAUUGGGUUUAAAGGUUGCGUAUGCAGAUUGAUAAGUUAGAGGUGAAAUGUCCGAGCUUAACUCGGGAACUGCCUCUAAUACUGUUGAUCGAGAGAGUAGAUGCGGUAGGCGGAAUGUAUGGUGUAGCGGUGAAAUGCUUAGAGAUCAUACAGAACACCGAUUGCGAAGGCAGCUUACCAAUCUAUAUCUGACGUUGAGGCACGAAAGCGUGGGGAGCAAACAGGAUUAGAUACCCUUGUAGCC